rnacentral:rRNA from 1 species
GACGAACGCUGGCUUCGUGCUUAACACAUGCAAGUCGAACGGAAAGGCCCUGCUUUUGUGGGGUGCUCGAGUGGCGAACGGGUGAGUAACACGUGAGUAACCUGCCCUUGACUUUGGGAUAACUUCAGGAAACUGGGGCUAAUACCGGAUAGGAGCUCCUGCUGCAUGGUGGGGGUUGGAAAGUUUCGGCGGUUGGGGAUGGACUCGCGGCUUAUCAGCUUGUUGGUGGGGUAGUGGCUUACCAAGGCUUUGACGGGUAGCCGGCCUGAGAGGGUGACCGGCCACAUUGGGACUGAGAUACGGCCCAGACUCCUACGGGAGGCAGCAGUGGGGAAUAUUGCACAAUGGGCGGAAGCCUGAUGCAGCAACGCCGCGUGCGGGAUGACGGCCUUCGGGUUGUAAACCGCUUUCGCCUGUGACGAAGCGUGAGUGACGGUAAUGGGUAAAGAAGCACCGGCUAACUACGUG